rnacentral:rRNA from 1 species
GAUGAACGCUGGCGGCGUGCUUAACACAUGCCAGUCGAACGGAAAGGCUCCUGCUUGCAGGGGUACUCGAGUGGCGAACGGGUGAGUAACACGUGGGUGAUCUGCCCUGCACUUCGGGAUAAGCCUGGGAAACUGGGUCUAAUACCGGAUAGGACGAUGGUUUGGAUGCCAUUGUGGAAAGUUUUUUCGGUGUGGGAUGAGCUCGCGGCCUAUCAGCUUGUUGGUGGGGUAAUGGCCUACCAAGGCGUCGACGGGUAGCCGGCCUGAGAGGGUGUACGGCCACAUUGGGACUGAGAUACGGCCCAGACUCCUACGGGAGGCAGCAGUGGGGAAUAGUGCACAAUGGGCGCAAGCCUGAUGCAGCGACGCCGCGUGGGGGAUGACGGCCUUCGGGUUGUAAACUCCUUUCGCUAGGGACGAAGCGCAAGUGACGGUACCUGGAGAAGAAGCACCGGCUAACUACGUG